rnacentral:hammerhead_ribozyme from 1 species
AUCCAGUUGACGAGUCCCAAAUAGGAUGAAGCGUGCAUCGUGGAU